rnacentral:rRNA from 1 species
UACGUAGGCAGCGAGCGUUGUUCGGAGUUACUGGGCGUAAAGAGUGCGUAGGCGGUUUUCUAAGUUUGGUGUGAAAUCUCCCGGCUCAACUGGGAGGGUGCGCCGAAGACUGGAAGGCUUGAGUAUGGGAGAGGUAAGCGGAAUUCCUGGUGUAGCGGUGAAAUGCGUAGAUAUCAGGAGGAACACCGGUGGCGAAGGCGGGUCUCUGGGCCGAUACUGACGCUGAGGAGCGAAAGCGUGGGGAGCAAACGGG